AGGGUGUCCCCGCACGGUGCGCAAGGCUGGCAUCCCGGCGCUGCCGCCGGGCGGCACGAAGCGCUGUGCCGCAAGCCCAGCCGCCGUCGGGCGAGCCGGGUGCCCUGGGCGAGGAGCGGCGGUGGCUCCCGCCCGUAGGUGGCGGGGCGGCGGCGACCCCCGGCAGGCGUAGGUGGCACUGUUAGCGAGCCUGGGUGCGCGGCCCCCCUGUGCCGCCGCCCCGGGCAGUCGCGACCCAGCGGUGAGUCGUAAUUGGCUUCUGAGGCUUAGGCGAGAGCAGACUCUAUCGCGUGUUCAGUGAGAAAUGAACCAAAGCAAGAGCUUGCCAUCUCCACACUGAUGUUGCAUCCAAACCCCUGGCUGCCAAAUCAAGCUUGCUGCUAUCGUACUGAAUUUUCUUUCUUGUGAGUGUGAUCAGCUUGAGGAGUCUUUUGGGAAAGAGAAUUCUCAACGUUUCAAUAGCUCUGGCUGGAGGAGUCCAUAAUAUUCUGAAUAUCUCCAGGCAUCCACAGAGCCAAGGCCACUUCUGCCUUUUCUAGUGCUGCACUGCUGAGGAGAAUGGGGGUGCUGGGGAGGUUGAAAGGACACACCCUGGACACAUGACCCCAGUUGACCAGAGGGGUACUCCAGACCUCAUGACAUCAUGGUCAGCGUCACGCAUGGUGGGGCCGUGCUCUCCUGGAGAUGGCUGAACACCUGCUUGCCCAUGGAAGAUAUGUCUCCAGCACUGACUACUUGGACUCCAUAUUACUUUGCACUUCUGAGCUACUGUGAUACCAAUUCUACAGGAACAAGACUGAGACCCCUGCACAAAAAUAACGUGUGAGAUCUGCUGUGCAUGCUGUACACUGAUCUUCAACGCAAAGACAAACACUUUCCAAGUGACCAGCUCACGCUGGAGCCACAGCCACCACUUCAGAGAGCAGAGGGAACAUGGAGUUAAACACCUGCUAAUUUAACUGGGUGUGCAGUUCACCAUUGUCUAACCUUGCUAUCAGAGUUACUGAUGGCGUUCCCAGUCUCCUCCUAGGCUGCCUCUGUUGGUGUCGGGCAGGACUCAGUCUGCCAGGAGGGGUGAGAGACAUUCAGGUUCCUCAGCUGUGGCAGGCCUGCCCCACAGUGCCUGCAGGACUUGGAUGAGGCAGGCAGGCAUCCAGUGCUGGCCCCUGUGUUUGCUGCAAGAGCUCUUGUGCGACAAGGUUUUGGUAAUGAGGGAGCCACAGGGGUGGCUUCUGUGAGAAAAUGCCAGAAGAUUCCCCCAUGGGCAACAAAGACAAUUCCAGCCAGCUCCAGGAUGGACCUGCUGCUGGCCAAGGCCAAGCCCAUCAGCAAUGGUGGUAGUGCCUCUGGGAUUACAGAUUUAAGAAACGGAGAACUUCUGGAACAGCAGCCAGGGAGAGGUGUGAGAAUAUGCAGGAGGAACAGCUCUGCAGACACCAAGGCCAGGGCAGAAAGGGUGGGAGGAAGCGCUCCAGGCACUGGAGCAGAGAUUCCCCUGCAGCCCGUGGUGCAGCCCAGGGUAAGGCAGGAUGGGACCCUGCAGUCCAUGGAGGAACAGAGAUCCACCUGCAGCCUGGGGAGGGCCCACACUGGGGCUGGUGGAGGCCUGAAGGGGGCUGUGACCCUGUGGGAAACCUGUGCUGGAGCAGGGGCCUGGCAGGAUCUGUGGCCCCACGGAGAGAGGAGCCCACAGUGAGCAGGUUUGCUGGCAGGAGUGGUGACCCCAUGGAGAACCCACUCUGGAGCAGUGUGCUCCUGAAGGACUGCACCCUGAGGGAGGGACCGUGCUGGAGCAGAAGAGCUGAAACCCGGGGAAGGACUUACAUUCGGAAAGUUUGUGGAGACUGUCUCCUGUUGGAGGGACCCCACACUGGAGCUGGAGUGUGAGGAGUCGUCCCAUCGUCCCCCCCCCCCCCGAGGAGGAGAGAACAGUAGAGACAAUGUGUGAUGGGUUGAUCACAGCCCUGAUUCCUCAUUCUCCUGCUCCACUGGGGAGAAGGAGAUAUAGACAAAAUCUGGACUGAGGUUAAACCUGGGAAGAAGGGAGGAGUGGACAGUUUAGGAUUUAGUUUUUUGUUUUUGUUACCUUACUCUGAUUUGAUUGGUAAUAGAUUAAUUUCCCCAAGCUGAGUCUGUCUUGCCUAUGAUGGUAACGAUGAAAGGUCUCUCCCUGUCCUUUUCUCAGUCCAGGAGUCUUUCAUUAUAUUUUCUAUCCAACUGAGGAGGAAAGAGAUAUAGCAACUUUGGUGGGCACCUGACAUCCAGCUGGAGUCAACCCACCACACACCACUGACACAAAAACCACUUUCCAGGCAGACUUCCUCCAUUGUUAGCAGCCACUAAACCAAGGCAGACCUUCCACUUCUGGUAAUACAACUGGCUGCAUAAACCUCUCACAGAGAGCCAGUGUGCUCAUUUCAUCCAGCUGAGCUGCCUAAACACCUCCCAUUGAAAGGGGUUGGUUUCCAGCUUGCUGUUUUCAGAGGGGCAACUUGGCUAUUCCAUUUACUGGGAAGCCUACCUGUCCCAGGGCAUAUUGCCCUGCUGAAAAUGCAGAGAUGCUCUAACAGGAGCUGUGGAUGGGUGGGAGUAGCUGGUGGCACAGCAAAAUGUGCUGGUACGAUGCAUGAGAGUGUACUGGCUGCAGGGCCUGGCUAUGACCCCAAGCAGAAGGGGUUUUAGGAGAGGACAAAAACAGUACCUGUUUUCUUGUAUGGUGAAAAAAAUAGCAACCAGCAGUAGUGCUAGCUAUCUUGUUCUUCCACAUUAUUAACACUCUUCAUUUUUCCCUGAUAGCAGGAAAAUUGUACAAAUGUAAAAUUUGAAUAGGUUGUCUCACUAAGACUGAAGUUAGGAACCAAGUUUCCAACUCCCCUAUUCAAGUCCUACUUUACAAUGAUGUACUACUCUUUCUAGAAAGGGAAUGCUCCAUGCAGUGCUUAAACUGUCUUUAAAAAGAAAAUACCAACAGUUUAUCUGAAUUAACACUAAAGAAGAGGAUUUAUCCAGCUGUGGUCAGUUUUCAUUUUUUUCCUCAAGUUUACCUUUGGCAUCAUCUGAAUUCUUCCAUUUGCUUUCACUAGGGAUCUAAAAUUGUUACAUCUAGAGUAAGAAAGGCCCAACAAAAUCAGUGAGAAAAAUAAUGAUUAAAAGUAUGUUGUAUCCUUGACAUCUAGAACUGAUAUUCUCCAAAAGGAUAUGACCUCCUUUGCUCUUAAAAACCGUUAUAAAUUUCUUGAUGUUUUAAAAUUGGAUUCCUUUAUUGACUUCUUUCCACUGUAUUUUAUUCAAGGAUAGAAGGCCUGCACAAUUGUGUAGAAUGGUUUUGAUGGCAUCUUUGUGUAAAAAAAGUAAUUGUUCUUAUUUUUUAUGAAGGAAAAAGAAAAAAAGUUUAGAGGCUUUCUGUGCCUCUAAGCAAAACUUUCCUCUCACAAUCUAUGAAAAUAUUUUUGUGCUUCACUUCCCUAUAGAAAGUAUUCUUUAAUUCCAUCUGGUAGGUGUAAAGUACAGUGCAAUUUGAACAGGAAAAUUUUAAAUAUCUCAAUUUUGGACUAGCUAGAAAAGCAAAGAUGGAUUAAUUGUUCCAGGGAAAUAUUUAACAGUUUAAAAACAAAUUUUGAAACACCAGAUUUUGUUCCAAAACUUGAUAUUCAUAUGUAGGUGAAAUCAAUAUGCUAGACUGGAGCCUCACAUUGUAUUGCUAUCGUCAUCAUCUGUUUGUAUUACCUGAGAGCCCUGGAGUCUCCAUUCAAGGUUAAUCAGUGUAUAAAAACCAGAUGUUCCCUGCCUCAAAGGAUGGAUACAGACAGGAUGCUACAAAGAAGCAAGAGAAUAGUGCUCAGCAGGAGACAUAAUGGCAUCAGCACAGCACCACCAGAUGGAUAUGAUAUCAGUAAAAGAACUUGGAGGUGGACAAUAAGUUAGAAAUAUCUCUGCAGAAGAUUCACCAUGGUCGAAGGGGGAAUACAUGGACUAAGCCAGAAGUUUGAAAGCAUUGUGUGCAGAAGUUGUGUCAGAUGUACAGGAAUAGCAGAGUUCAGGAAAAAAAUCACUCUCCAAAGUUUGUGAAGCUUAUUAGUGAUCCAAUAUAAAUUUAGAAUGGAGUUCACUGCUUCUUGUUUCACUCAAACACUACCAAUUCUGAUCAUCACCAAUACUCAUACUCAGAAGAGAUCACAGAGUCACAGAAUGGUUGACGUUUGAAAGGACCUGUGGAGGCCAUCUGGUCCAGCACCUUUGCUCAAGCAGGGACACCAACAACCCUUUGUCCAAGAACAUAUCCAGAUAAUUUUUUAAUACCUCCAAAGAUGAAUACCUCCACAACAUCUCUGAGCAACCAGUGCCAGUACUUGGCCACCCUCACAAGGAAACUCCUGUAUUUCACUUUGUGCCCAUUGACAGGGCCUUUGUUCUGGUCCUGUCCCUUGCCACCACUGAAAAGAGCCUGGCUUUUUCUUCUGUAAACCUUUCCUUCAGGUAUUUACACACAUUGAGAAAAUCCUUAUGAAUUUUCUCUUCUCCAGCCUGAGUGGUUCAUAUUCUCAGCCUUUCUUGAUAUGAGAGAUGCUCCAGUUUGAGUAUAUUAAUCUUCCUAGUGGUGAUACACUUGACUCCUUGCCCUGUGUCCAUGUCUCACUUGCAUUGGGGAGCUCAGCAAUGAACUCAGAACUCCAAGUGCAACUUCCCCAGUGUUGAACAGAGCAAAAGGAUACUCUCCCUUGACCCACUGGUAACACUUCAAAAACAGCCCAGGACACAAGUUGCUGUUACAACGAGGGCUGUUCAGUGUUUGACAGUAGGGGAAAGAAAAUGGGCUUGAGAUUUUUUCUUUUAAACUUGAUUUUUUAAAAUUAUUUUUUGUGAGUUUUUAAGGGGAAGAUGUUAAAUCUAUACUAGACCAAGAGGGAUACAGGGUCCUUAGAUAUGGGAUUAUAAACCAGUCCUUUAAAGGGUCAUUUGAUAGCAAGCUGCCACUCCAUAAUAGGUUUUUAUCAACAGUUAGAAAAAAAUCAAAAGUAUAGAAAAGUCAUAGAAUCAUAGAAUAUGCUGAGUUGGAAGGCACCUGCCAAGUUCAUGAAGCCCAAAUGCUGGGCCUGCACAGGACACCUCAGGAGUCAUGCCGUGUGCCUAAAAAGCAUUAUCCAAAUUCUUCUUGAACUCAGACAGGCUUAGUGCUGUGACCACUUUGCACAGAUGCAAGUGCUCAAACAUCGUCUUGGUGUUUGAAAAGCCUUUUCCUUUUAUCCAACCUAAAUCUCCCCUGAAACAACUUCAGGUGUAGCCACAUUUCUCUUUAGAGAGAAAAGCAUUGAACAACUUCCCAAGGAUAUUUUCUGGGACUCGCAUUCUCUGAACCUCAGAGAAAGAAAAAAUAAUUCUUAUCUCAAUUGCUGCGCCUCUUGUUCACAAGUGGAAUGCAUUGAGGAAGAUUGUUUACCUGAAGGAAAUUGGUAAUUGGAUUCUGGUGUGAGGGUUUUGAUUUAUUGACCAAUUGAAUCCAUGUGUGUGUGUGUGUUGGGCUGACAGUCCAGUUGAGUUGAGUUGAGUUGAGUUGAGUUGAGUUGAGUGCUUGGUGCAGAUUCAGUGUAAUAUAGUAUACAAUAAUAUAUUAUAAUAAAGUAAUUAAUUAGCC